rnacentral:rRNA from 1 species
GACGAACGCUGGCGGCGUGCUUAACACAUGCAAGUCGAACGGAAAGGCCCUGCUUUUGUGGGGUGCUCGAGUGGCGAACGGGUGAGUAACACGUGAGUAACCUGCCCUUGACUUUGGGAUAACGUCAGGAAACUGGGGCUAAUACCGGAUAGGAGCUCCUGCUGCAUGGUGGGGGUUGGAAAGUUUCGGCGGUUGGGGAUGGACUCGCGGCUUAUCAGCUUGUUGGUGGGGUAGUGGCUUACCAAGGCUUUGACGGGUAGCCGGCCUGAGAGGGUGACCGGCCACAUAGGGACUGAGCUAGGGCCCAGACUCCUCCGGGAGGCAGCAGUGGGGAAUAGUGCACAAUGGGCGGAAGCCUGAUGCAGCAACGCCGCGUGCGGGAUGACGGCCUUCGGGUGGUAGCCCGCUUUCGCCUGUGACGAAGCGUGAGUGACGGUAAUGGGUACAGAAGCACCGGCUAACUACGUG